GACGAACGCUGGCGGCGUGCCUAAUACAUGCAAGUCGAACGCAGUGGGGACGGGUGAGUAAAACGUGGGUAACCUCCCAUCAGAGGGGAUAAAACUUGGAAACAGGUGCUACAACGAUAUUGAUGGAUGGACACGCGGGGAAUUAGCUAGUUGGUGAGGUAACGGCUAACCAAGGCCACGUUGAAUAGCCGACCUGAGAGGUUGAUCGGCCACACUGGGACGGAGACACGGCCCAGACUCCGACGGGAGGCAGCAGUAGGGAAUCUUCGGCAAUGGACGAAAGUCUGACCGAGCAACGCCGCGUGAGUGAAGAAGGUUUUCGGAUCGUAAAACUCUGUUGUUAGAGAAGCGGUAUCUAACCAGAAAGCCACGGCUAACUACGUGCCAGCAGCCGCGGUAAUUC
rnacentral:rRNA from 1 species